rnacentral:rRNA from 1 species
UACGUAGGGGGCUAGCGUUGUCCGGAAUCAUUGGGCGUAAAGCGCGCGUAGGCGGUUAUCUAAGUCGGAUGUGAAAGCCCUCGGCUUAACUGAGGAAGUGCAUCCGAAACUGAAUAGCUAGAGUACGAAAGAGGGUCGCGGAAUUCCCGGUGUAGAGGUGAAAUUCGUAGAUAUCGGGAGGAACACCGGUGGCGAAGGCGGCGACCUGGGUCGAGACUGACGCUGAGGCGCGAAAGCGUGGGGAGCAAACAGG